AGCGAAGCUAGAGUCACAUCCUGACCAGUCUGUGUCCUGGUGUGCUAUAGCUCUCGCAGAUUAAUCUCUCUGCUUAUUCAUUGGCUGAUGCUUCUCCGUCGCUCAGCCAAUCACCGGCUCAGAAACAUUA